UACAUUUCUGAGAAACACAUCGGUUUCUCACUCUGGGCCCGCUCUUACAACAAUGAAUUACUGACGUCACAGUCCCAGCUCCAGGAACUGUUGAGUCAUCAUUUGUUAUUUUACACGGCUGAUAGCAGGCACAAGACCAACUUCCAUUCACCACACUCCUAAAACAACUGAACAUUACGUAAGGAAGCUCCCUUGAGGCACAGACAAUUAAACUGGUUCUUUCCAGCUUCCUAUAACAUUUCUCCAGCGUCUCUCUGAGUAAAGACAACCAGCAACACUCAUUGGAGAAUGAGCAUGAAGAGGCCAGUGGAGUUGUCCCCUGAGAGCCAGGCUCUGAUGCCAGCCAGGUAGAAAGCCAACCCAUUUCCUGCCCGGCAACAACGGAGCCCAAGUCCCAGCCAGAAACCCAGGCUGGGGUCCAAGAGGCAGAUCCUCUGGAGGGAAUUUCAGCAUGGAUCUUACAUUUUAUUUGUUUUGGGAAGCACCUCAUGUACUUGGGAGCCAUUAAAAUAACAAACAACACCACUACUAUUUCACGAAGAGCCAGGAAUAAAAAACUCACCUUCCCAAAACUGCCCUUUCCCA